GAUGAACGCUAGCUACAGGCUUAACACAUGCAAGUCGAGGGGCAGCAUGAUUGAAGCUUGCUUCAAUCGAUGGCGACCGGCGCACGGGUGAGUAACACGUAUCCAACCUGCCGAUAACUCGGGGAUAGCCUUUCGAAAGAAAGAUUAAUACCCGAUAGUAUAGUAUUUCCGCAUGGUUUCACUAUUAAAGAACUUCGGUUAUCGAUGGGGAUGCGUUCCAUUAGAUAGUUGGCGGGGUAACGGCCCACCAAGUCAACGAUGGAUAGGGGUUCUGAGAGGAAGGUCCCCCACAUUGGAACUGAGACACGGUCCAAACUCCUACGGGAGGCAGCAGUGAGGAAGAUUGGUCAAGGGACGAGAGUCUGAACCAGCCAAGUAGCGUGAAGGAUGACUGCCCUAUGGGUUGUAAACUUCUUUUAUACGGGAAUAAAGUGGAGUAGGCAUACUCCUUUGUAUGUACCGUAUGAAUAAGGAUCGGCUAACUCCGUG
rnacentral:rRNA from 1 species